AAAAGAAGCGAGUGUGGUCAAACAUGCCGAGACUAGUUUGACAAUCCUGAGUCAAGUCCAAAUUCAACGUGAACGACUUCGAUACUGUCGCAUUUAGGGACACUUGAUUGAUGCGGCGGCCAUUUUACCCGCUGGACGCUUCCUCUCAUUGUGGAUACGAAGAAGAAAAUAACAAGCGAAAGCUUUCUCGUCACUUCGGUUCACUUUUUCUCGACAGCGAGGGAGGCGGGGCCACAAAGACUGGAAGCAACUGUGAAGCCCGCCCGCUUACCAACAAUCUUAAUCAGCAAUGGCCCGUACCAAGCAGACUGCCCGUAAAUCCACUGGAGGCAAAGCUCCACGAAAGCAGCUGGCCACAAAGGCUGCCCGGAAGAGCGCUCCCUCCACUGGAGGUGUGAAGAAGCCCCAUCGCUACAGGCCCGGUACUGUUGCUCUGCGUGAGAUCCGUCGUUACCAGAAGUCCACUGAACUUCUGAUCCGCAAGCUGCCGUUCCAGCGCUUGGUGAGAGAAAUCGCUCAGGACUUCAAGACAGACCUGCGUUUCCAGAGUGCAGCCAUUGGUGCUCUGCAGGAAGCCAGCGAGGCCUACCUGGUGGGUCUGUUUGAGGACACCAACCUGUGUGCCAUCCACGCCAAGCGUGUCACCAUCAUGCCAAAAGACAUCCAACUGGCACGUCGCAUCCGUGGGGAGCGCGCGUAAAUAAAUGUCUUUGUAUUUUUCACCCGUCUGUUUGUACAGUAUAUGCUCACUUCCGCAUCCCUUUCUCUUUGUAGUAGUAUGUAGGGAAACUGUUUGUUUAAUAAUCAACUUCAUAGUGUUUUUUUUCGUAGUGCUCUCAGCAGAAGCCUUCCAUGGUACUCCUUUUAUGUGCAUGUAAUGGUAAUGAAUAGGCACUCUCUUUUGGGGGGGGGGAAACCAUGAUGACAAGAAUACUGCCAGUAAACCCAGUGCUAAUUUAGACAGAGGAUGGGCUUCUUCUAGCUUCUUUCCAGCAGGUAACUAGAUGAUCCUCUUCUGCUCUGAAUCACGCACCAGCCUCAGCUCCCAGGUGCGCAGAGACCUCAACAUCGGUCUCGGUGGGGUUCUCUGUCCAUUCAAUGUGUCUGCAUAAGUGUUAGCUCUGAUCACCACAGAGGUCUCUACACAAUCCAUCAACAUAUCUGGAGACAAUGUUUAGAAUAUUGAUGGUUAUUGAUAUUCUUCAUAUAUUUUCUUUCCCUCGAAUAACACUAGAUUUCUUCUCACUGCAACAUGGUGAACAAACCUAAAUAGAUCUGAAAUAGGUUUAUAAUCAAUCCUCUUUUCCUAUAAAAACAAAAGGACCUAAACAUGUUAUUUCUUUUUUGCUUUCCUUGAAAUGUUUUAGCCAAAGUUUGAAAGAGUCUUUCGUGCAAAUACUCUCGUAUUCUUGGCUCUUUGUUGAACAUAAAUCUUGAUGGGAGAUUUAUAUGGUUCCAUUAUGAGGCAAUUCUAUUUUUUUCUUUCUUUUUUUAAGACAAAGUGAGAUGUAGUGUUUUUUCAAAAAAAUGUGUUCCCCUCUCUAUCACUUUUCCCUCUGCUUCUUUUUUUUCCCCUCCCUCCAAGUAGUUUGAUCAUCUGUCUUAUUUGUUUAGUUGUUACCCCACAACUUAAUUUUUGUGUUUCUCGUGUUCUUUUAUUGAAACAUUGGGGAUGUUUUAAUUAAGCAAUGUUUGUAAUUUCCAAAUUUGUCAAAUAAGAUGGUAAUAAAUGGAUGUUACACACGCC